AGUGCCCAAAAACAUGCCAGAAAGAAUCCCAGCCUAACUGCUCUUCCCCUUUCCUGUUACUGGCUCCUCACCUCCUUCCUCCUGUCUUACCUGCCUCACCGCCGGGGAUAAUUUUGAAAAAACAGUUCCUUUGAAUCUUACUAAUUGUCUUCUGACACAAAAUUUAUCGGCGCUUCCGCGUCUCCUACUGAUGGAUCCGCGGUGCAUUAGUUAGUUGGUGGGGUAAAGGCCUACCAUCACAAUGAUGCCUACCCCAGUUGAGAGACUGAUCGGUCACAUUGGGACUGAGACAUCGCCCAAACUCCUACGGGAGGUUGCUUUACGGAAUCUUCCACAAUGGGCGAAAGCCUGAUGGAGCAACACCGCGUGUGUGACGAAGGCUUUCGGGUCGUAAAGCACUGUUGUAUGGGAACAACAGCUACAAUAGCAAAUGAUUUUAGUUUGACGGUACCCUACCAAAAAGGGACGGCUAAAUACGUGCCACCAUCCGCGGUAAUACGUAUGUCCCGAGCGUUAUCCGGAUUUAUUGGGCGUAAAGCGAGCGCAGACGGUUUAUUAAGUCUGAUGUGAAAGCCCGGAGCUCAACUCCGGAAUGGCAUUGGAACCUGGUUAACUUGAGUGCAGUAGAGGCAAGUGGAACUCCAUGUGUAUCGGUGGAAUGCCUACAUAUAUGGAAGAACACCAGUGGCGAACGCCGCUUACUGGACUGCAACUGACGUUGAGGCUCGAAAGUGUGGGUAGCUAACAGGAUUAGAUACCCUGGUAGUCCACACUGUAACGAUGAACACUACGUGUCAGGACGUUUCACGCCUCUUAUUGCUCAAGCUAACGCAUUACUGUUCUGCCUGGGGAGUACGACUGAACGAUUGAAACUCAAAGGAAUUGACAGGGACCGCACAAGCGGUGGAGCAUGUGGUUAAAUCGAAGCACGCGAAACCUUACAGUCCUGACAUCUUGAGCUUUAAGAUAGAAUGUUCUCUUCGGAAACAAGUGAAAGGUGGUGCAUGUCGUUCGUCAGCUCCUGUCUGAAUGUGGGUAGUUCCGCCACGAGCGCACCUUAUGUUAAUGUCAGCAUCGAUGGGCACUCUAUCGAAUCUGCG
rnacentral:rRNA from 1 species